UGCGGUGCUGGGACUGCGAGGGAAGGAAGUUGUGGUGCAGGGAGAUGGUUGUGCAAUGGAGGGGCUGUGCAUUUGCUCCACCGAUGACCACUGCGCUCCUAAACUAGGCUAUUAUUGUCGACCUGGGGAAGUCUAUGAGCAGGCUCGAGUUUGCCGGAAGAUAAAAUCCGUGGAAGCUGAUGGUUUGGCAUGGAGCGCAUGAUACCAUUCACAUUCAUUUGCUGUGAGGUUUAUUUCUGUGUCACUUCCUCUUCGAAUAAAGGAUGAAAUGUCAGUCAAUAAUUACUACAUAGUUUAUUAUUGUGAUAUUAAAGCAAGCGUCGAUAAAUGCAAUAUUGUAUGGGACGCAGAUUACAUUCCUCCCGAUUUAUCUGUACAACUCCAAGAUGACUUAUACAAGUCAUUCUAUAGAACUAUAAUGUCUUAAUAAAUUUUUUUUGGGAAAAAAAUUAGGACAUAAUUUCUCAUUAUUUUUCAUAGCAAGAUCCCAUUUUGAAGGAAACGAACGCUCUCCAGUAUCCUUUGCAUGAAAGGAACGAGGAAGCAAGAAAUAAUUGUGCCAUUCUUAACGCCAUCGUGUGGAGAGAGAUAGUAUGUUAACGCGAUAUUCUUCGCUAUCAUUUCUUAAAAUAAUAAUGAUGAUUAAUGAUAAUAACCUGCGACUCACGUAAAUGUUCUGAUUAAUUUUACAUUAAUUACGCUUGACCCACGUUUCGUGACACAAAUGAAAUGGUAGUUCACACCGAUUACAUUUCAAAUUUUUGACUCAAAGCUCGUCCUAUGGAUCGCGAGAAUAAACCAUAUGGUAAGAAGCUACAUAAAUAUGGAAAUCACAAAGGAGGGUGAUUACUGUAAUUAACCCUUCCUCGAUGCCCCCAACUCCAAGAAACUACUGCUCUCUCUAGGUAACUCUACGGCGCAGCAUCCAAUCUUAUGUUUUUUCCUUUCUCAUCCUCGCAGUAUAAUUUAGAGAUAGCAAGUGGUCGCACCAUGAUCGAGGGAAACAGCAGCGAGAGCAAGCUGAGCCAGUACAUCAGGCCCCCGACCGGGAGCUGCGGCAUGCCCCGGACUUGUACGAUAGCAGCAUGGCCGGGAUCGCCGGCAAGGCGCAGUGUGGCACCGUCAUCGCGCUGUCUUCGCGCCUAUGGCUUUGGGCUGUGCUCGCGGACGAGCAGCAGCGAGGAAGAGAUCAACGACCUCAUCGGCGCCGUUUGCAAGAGCAAGAUGCGGGCCAUCCCGGUGGAGGAUGGGACGCCGGUGCCGAGGAGCCACAGUGUGGCGACGUUGAGGAUAGACGAAGACAAGCCGUGUGACUUCGAGGACGACCUCACGGUGGCCCUGGGGCCAAGGAGCUGUGGCUACGAUGUUGCCACCGAGAGGAAGGUGGGCUUCUAAUAAGCUUCAAGUUAGCUUGUGCGGUGAUCUAACACGAACAGUAAACAUCCGAGCUUAUAUAUUGUACUGCUUUCGAGGGAGGAAAUAAGCAAUUCGUUGAGCCGUUGUCAUUCUUUGGGAACCAAAACUUAUUAGGAGAUAAAUCGAAUAGUAGAUAUUCGUCGCUUCUUUUAUGAAGCCUUGUUGUAUUUUACCUACUCACCACGUCUUGUGAUAAUCUCAUGUAAUAUCUACACAAAAUAACUAAGUUUUAGAUCGGGCAUGACAUCCUCAAGGAAUGAUUUUUUAAUAGACUACAGUGUUUAUUUAUGUGAGGAUUUGGCAUGCUUUUUUCAUCUUAAAAAAGGAAAUGUUAAAUUUCUAAGAAAAACCUCCUAACUUUAAGAAUUUAUCAAAUAACCCUCCAAUCUUGAGAAAUUUUUAUAGAGUAUUUCUUUUUCUUAAAUGAUCAUUCUACCCAUAUUGAUUGUCGCCUUUACCCUUGCAUUGUUAUUGCUGUGCUUGCCGGUGGCCUUCGCACAAGGAAGGAAGGGGUGCAAGAGUUGUCAUCUCCUUCCUGCACCACCUCCCCUCCCUUCUGCAUGCUGGACUUAUUGCUUACAGGCCUCACGCGAGGAAGGAGAAGGUACGAGGGCUAUUAUCACCUUUGCAGACCUCACUAACCCUACACUAACGCCUUGCUCACAACCCUCGCAUGAGAAAGGAGAGGACGUGAGGGCUGGGAUAGUAAUUCAAAUCCAAUCAAGGUCUAUUCCAAAUCAGUCACUAUUUGUAAUGCACUAAAUUUGUAAAACUAGGUUGAGGGGCAUUCUUGACAAAUAUUCCUUCAACGGCGAAUUGAAUUUUUAGGUUUGGACUAGUCGAUGAAGUGAAGUCAUAUCUUAGGAGUACAUGGGAGCCCUUUUUAUGAGUGAUACUAAGGAUGAUUAUUCCUAGAAUCACCGAUCGCAUAGGCCAGCCAUGUCAACCACGGGUUCAGAUGAUUGAUUAUCUGGUCAUGUAUCACCCCUUUAUGAGUAUAUGUCUUACGACCUGAUCAUCAUUUGUCUAUCGCGUGUGAUCCUCAUGCUCUUUGGCAAUCGAUCAGUUGGCUCAUUGGUCAUCGGCAAUGUUGUAUUUGACAUGUCACUUGUCACCUAUCACUUGCCCCCAACUUCUAGGUUGAUAGAUUGUAGGGCUAUCGAGUUAAGAAGUGCUCUAGCUUAUGCUUUUAACACUGAUAGUGGAUUUGUUCGUCAUCUUUUUGACAUAUGUCAUAGAAAUGCAUGUUCUGUCCGUUAAAGCUAUUCUAUCCAUUUAGUAUGUUUAACGCAUUCGGUUCAUUUAACCCGUUCUAUUCAUUAGUUGCUCUCCCUCUAACAUACAUUCCUUAAUAUAUCUUGGUUGCUCUCCCUCUAACAUAUCAGUAUAAAUUUUAGUUGUUUGAGUUGAGAUGAUAACUUAGAUCUAUCUGACGUUCAUUCCAAGUUAGUCUAACUCUAGAAAACCUACAAAUGCCCUAUCGUCGAUCAAGUCAGACUUGUCAGCCAAUACUAAAGUCAAGUCGGGUCCUGGAAGUGUACAUAAGAGUCUCUUUUAUUAGUAACUCUAAGAAUGGUUAUGUCUGGAAUCAUUGAUGGUAAGAGGGGAAUAUGUGCCACAUUCAAGCUGAGACUUGGCAUUCGUACAAGUAAAUGGUUGAUGUGAUCCGGGAGAGAGCAAGGCAUGUAAAUGAUUCAUAACAAGGGAACGUCUCUUACAAGUUCUCCAUUGACAGGUUCUUCCGACUUAGAAUUGGUCUAAUGUUUUCCGGCUUCUCCGUACCUCAGGAAAUGUUGGGUCUAGCCCAUACGUCAGCUUGGACUAGAUAAUUAAAUUUUUGAGCUCAAAUCAAUAAUUAAAAAAAAAAACUGCCUAUAGCGUUUUGACAAGCGAACGAUGGCGACGCACAGUCAAAUUAACAUAGAAAGAGAAAAGAGAAAAAAAAUAAGAUUUUGAGUUUUUCUUAGUUAACGAUCAGAGUCAAACUUGGAUCCAAAUUAUACAUGAAAAAUCUUUACAGUAGCCAGCUCUACAAUCCGCUGAUUUGUAGUUUACCCUUUAUGAGGUAUUUUCCAACUAUACUCAUUUUGUGAGACAAAAUUCUUUUUUUGAUGAGAUUCAUUCAUGUGAUGAUGAUAUACUAUUCUUGAGUCAAGAUAUGUGAUUUUGAUGUUAUUAUGGUUCUCUUGUUAUUUUAAAGAAGACUUAUUGUAAACCUAUAAUUAUUAUUAGUGAUAGUGGAAGCUUGAAGUGGACUACGAUCCCUAUUAUUAUUAUUAGUGAUAGUGGAAGCUUGAGGAGGACUACGGUACGUGGUUUUUUCCGCAUUAGGUUUUUCACGUUAAUAUUUGGUCUUACUUUGUGAUUGAUUCAUUGUUUUGUUAUUUAUGUUGUUCUGGUUUAUAUGUACUUUUGAUAUCAAGCUGGUUUUUGAUGAGAAACUUAUUUUAAUAGACAAAAAGAAAAAAAAUUAUUUUAUUUUAAUAGGUUUUUCCCAACAAGAAAUUGAGUGAAGAACUCUAUUUAACCGACUUCAAGUCGGCACGACCCUCUUCGCAUCCAAUGUUAGUGUAGCGCUAUGACCUAGGAAGAAGAAGAGGGAACAAGCUGAUGCGGUACAUCAAGGCCUCUCAUCGAGCACUGCUACGUGCCCGGGACUUGUACGUGAACAGCAUGGCUGGAUGCGCCAGAAGGGCCCAGGGCGAGCCGACGAUCAUCGCGAUGCCGCACGCCCAGAGCCACAUAUAUACACACACAAACGCGCACACACAAUAAAAGUAAUAUAAUUAUUGAUGCCCAUGCAAAAAGAUUUUAUAUCAUUUUUAUUUAAUUCGCUCACGUGGAUCAAUCGAGUUGUCCAUGUGUUAUUAUCCAUUAACUUGCUUUUAUCUAUUAUAUAAUAACGAUUGGAUCAUGAGCUGGCUUUCUCAUCUGCGUGCCAAUCCAAACGCUUCUAUACUGUGCCAUCGACGACUUCAAUAUCUUUGAUUUGCUCACAUCUCAAAGCCAAAAAAAAGGAAAAAUGAUGAGUACCUACAGUAUAUGACAAUUAGUUAGACCGAUUCUUCUAAAUUUUCUGAUCCCAUCGUGAGGCGUGCAUGACCAGCGUACUUUCCCCACUGUAUUUUACUCGACCAUCACUAACCUCACCGCUAUUAUAGAAAUAGUAUGUCAACACGAUCUUGGCUGUCAUCANNNNNNNNNNNNNNNNNNNNUUUUCUUACAAUAAUAAUAAUGAUAAGAACCUUGCGUCCCAAGUUGGCUCACGUGAUUGAAAUAAAUGACUCGAAUUGGGAACAAUACCCAUAUGCAGAUUCAUUGGGAUGGCAGAAUCUCUUGUUAAGUCAACGGGCUUUACCUCCCUUAUUUUAUAUGAAUUUUUUUCUGACACCUAAUAAUUUUGUAAACAGUGAUCAAGAUAUCGAAUUCACAUUCUCCUAUAUACACAUUACAUACCCAUAUGCAGACCAACUCUGGACAGUCAUCAUGGCCGCCACCUACUUUGCCCUAUUCGCCUCCGGCCUCGCCGUCUUGCUUCUACUAGUCCAAGGAUCGCCGCCAGGGCCCGUUGUCCAGUGCCGGUCCGGCAACACUAACUGCACCGUGACCAACGGCUAUGGAGCCUUUCCUGAUCGCAGCACCUGCUGCGUCGCCGCGGUCGCGUACCCUUCCACCGAACUGGAGCUCCUGUUAGCUGUCUCCGACGCCACCGAGAAGCAGCAGCACAUGAAGGCUGUCACGAUGUACUCCCACAGCAUCCCCAAGCUGUCGUGCCCCGGAGGGCCGAGCGGCCAGGGCCUGGUCAUUAGCACCCAGCGCCUCAACCGAUCGGUGAGCGUGGACAUGGCCACCUCGCGGAUGACGUUCGAAGCAGGGAUCACACUUAGGGAGCUCCUUGACGCGGCGGCCGCCCGUGGCCUGGCGCUACCCCACUCGCCGUACUGGCAAGGGAUGACGCUCGGCGGCCUGCUGAGCACCGGCUCCCAUGGGAGCUCGGUGUUCGGGAAGGGCUCGGCGGUGCACGAAUAUGUGGUAGGGAUGAGGCUGGUGGUUCCAAGUCCGGCCCCGGUGAACGGAUACUACGCCAAGAUCGUUAAUCUUGGUGAGGAUGAUCCUGAUCUCUUGGCUGCCAAGGUUUCUCUCGGUGUUCUUGGAGUCAUUUCUCAGGUAUGUGUGUGGUGACCUACGUGUUAUUCUUUGUUCUUUACACGGAUUGAGAUCCAUGUGAUAACUCAUCUUAGUUCUUCAUGGUGGUUCUUCCAACCACGUCAAGUACUUUCAUAAGCUGAGUGUACAAGAUUUGCCACGUUUCGAUGCUAAUUAGGUGCAACUAUAUCUUUAAUUCUUCAUGAUAUAAUAGAGAUCAUCCUACUGUUAUUAGCAACGCUGAAUACAUCCUAUCGUCAGUAAAAUGUCGAGACAGAAAAAAAAAACUUGAUUUCUAUCAAAUCACUUUACAAAGGAAGACUUGUUCUUUUCCUUGAAUCUAGAAAGUUACGUAAAUAAUAGGCUUUUGAUGAUCGCAGUGGACUUUACUUUUAAUCUUUCCUUCUUUUCUUGCUUUGCUUGUCUUCCUUGUUUCAAAAUGGGCUGAUGCAAACCUUUGAACCGUUCUAAUGAUUCCAUGUACCUUCCCUCGUCGUUUAUCGUAACUACACAACAUACUUGAGUGUUAUGGAACAUAUGAGCACAUGCAAACCCACAGAGACAAAGAUCAGAGAAAAAGCAACCAUUGCAAUAACAGCUACAGUGACGUUGAUGAUGACUCGGUGUAAAUGAGAGUGCCCCUUCCUUCACAUAUGGAGCCUCGAGCAGGGCAAGAGGCAGGCAGGUCCAUGCUGCCUUGCCUUGCAGAGCUUACGACCGGGCCCACUAAUUGCCUUAAAAGCCUCAGUAACAAUUAUUAGGUUGAAGGACGAUAGGGGAUGUCAGUAGUUGUAGUUCUUGUUUCAAUCUUUUUGCCUGAAUAGCUGAAAAGAGUUGACUAGCGAUACAUGUAAGCUUUUGUUCUUCUGCUUCAUUAUAAGUAACCUAAGAAUUACUUGAACCGAUCGAGCAGGUCACCCUCCAACUUGAGCCAAUGUUCAAGCGAUCCAUCACCAACAGGGUCGUAAGCGACGUUGGCUUCGAGCAAACCAUCUCCUCGUACGCUGUCACUACAUACUAUGGAGACAUCAGCUGGUAUCCGUCACAACGCAGAGUGGUGUACCGAGAUGAUAUCAAGGUCCCCAUCACCACCGAAGGAAAGGGUGUAAACGACUACUUAGGGUUCCGAGCGCAGCCCACCCACGUCGGAGCCUCUCUACGUGCUUCAGGUCUUAUAAAUUGCAGCUUUUAUUUUGCUUGUCAAACUUAAUGUAGUGUUCGAGCAGUAUUAUGCACACAUUUACAUCGACAUUUCGUCCGAGAUUUGUACUAAGAAGGCUUCUUUUGUCCUCUACCAUGUGUUUGUGUCUGUGAAUGCAGAGGAACGAGUGGAGGCAACGGGAAAUGCGGAAGGCAAAUGUGUGCUGUUCAGAUUGCAAGUUGAUACUUUGAUUGCGACCGGCAUGGGCCUUAAGAACAAUGACGGCGGCUUGUUAGAAUUCACCGGCUAUCCGGUCGUUGGAAACCAAAGCGACAUGCAAUCCUCCGGUAGGUCCUCCAAUUAUCCGAAGAAUGUAUAUGAUGACACAUGUUACACCUGUAUUAUAUAUUAUAUGGUCUGAGCCAAAUUCACUCCUGUAUUCUGUAUUAGUCUGAACCAUCUUCUCUCCAGGUUCGUGCCUAAGAAGUGCAGAAGACAACCUUCUCACGGCCUGUGGAUGGGACCCUCGCUUUGCUGGGUCCUUCUACCACGAAACCGCGAUAAGUAUCCCCUUCACCACCGUUGCAGACUUCAUCGCCGACGUCAAGAAGCUCCGCGACGCCCACCCCAACUCGCUCUGCGGCACCGAGCUGUCCUUGGGCUUCUUCAUUCGCUUCCUCCGCAACUCCACGGCCUAUCUUGGCAAAACGGACGACGUGGUGGAGAUCGACAUCACAUACUACCGUUCCAGGGAUCCAAAACGGCCGCGACUCUAUGAGGAUGUGCUCGAGGAGAUCGAACAGAUGGCCUUGUUCAAGUACAAUGGGCUGCCGCACUGGGGGAAGAACAGAAAUGUCGGCUUCCUCAAUGUCAAGAACAAGCUGGGGGCUAAGUUGGCCAAGUUUGUGAGUGUGAUGCAGAAGUAUGACAGCAAUGGAUUGUUCUCUUCAGACUGGACCGAUGCGGUGCUGGGACUGCGAGGGAAGGAAGUUGUGGUGCAGGGAGAUGGAUGUGCACUGGAGGGGCUGUGCAUUUGCUCCACUGACGACCACUGCGCUCCUAAACUAGGCUAUUUUUGUCGACCUGGAGAAGUCUAUGAACAGGCUCGAGUUUGCCGGAAGAUAAAAUCCGUGGAAGCUGAUGGUUUGGCAUGGAGCGCAUGAUACCAUUCACAUUCAUUUGCUGUGCGGUUUAUUUCUGUGUCACUUCCUCUUCGAAUAAAGGUUGUAAUGUCAGUCAAUAAUUACUACAUAGUUUAAUGAUGAUUAAUGAUAAUAACCUGCGACACACGUAAAUGUUCUGAUUAAUUUUACAUAAAUUACACUUGACCCACGUUUCGUGACACAAAUGACAUGGUAGUUCACACCGAAACUACUGCUCUCUAUAAAUUACUCAACGGCGCAGCAUCCAAUCUUCUGUUUGUUCCUUUCUCAUCCUCGCAGUAUAAUUUGGAGAUAGGAAGUGGUCGCACCAUGAGCGAGGGAAACAGCAGCGAGAGCAAGCUGACCCCGUACAUCAGGCCCCCGACCGGGCCGCUGUGGCAUGCCCGGGACUUGUACGAGAGCAGCAAGGCGCAGAGUGGCACCGUCAUCGCGCUGUCUCGCGCCUAUGGCUUUGGGCAGUGCUCGCGGACGAGCAGCAGCGAGGAAGAGAUCAACGACCUCAUCGGCGCCGCUUGCAAGAGCAUGAUGCGGGCCAUCCUGGUGAAGGAGGAUGGGCUGGUGCCAAGGAGCCACCGAGUGGCGACGUUGAGGAUAGACGAUGACAAGCCGUGUGACUUCGAGGACGACCAAGAGGAACGAUGCCAAGGAGCUGUAGCUACGAUGUUGCCACCAAGAGGAACGUGGGCUUCUAAUAAGCUUCAAGUUAGAUUGUGCGGUGAUCAACACGAACAGUAAACAUCCGAGCUUAUAUAUUGUACUGCUUUCGAGGGAGGAAAUAAGCAUUUCGUUGAGCCGUUGUCAUUCUUUUGGAACCAAAACUUAUUAGGAGAGAAAUCGAAUAGUGAAUACAGAAGAAGAUAUUCUUCACUUCUUUUGUGAAGCUUUGUUGUAUUUUACCUACUCACCAUGUAUUUUACACAAAAUAACUAGUUUUAGAUCGGGCAUGACAUCCUGAAGGAAUGAUUGUUUAAUAGACUACAAUGUUUAUUUAUGCGAGGAUUUGGCAUGCUUUUCUCAUCUUAAAAAAAGGAAAUGUUAAAUUUCUAAAAAAAGACCUCCUAACUUUAAAUUAUCAAAUAACGCUCUGAGAAAUUUUUUUAGAGUAUUUUUUUCUUAAACAAUCAUUCUAUCCAUUGUCAACUCUAUCCAUGCAUUGUUAUUAUUGUAUUUACAUGUGGCCCUCGCAUAAGGAAGGAAGGGGUGCAAGAGUUGUCACCUCCUUCCUGCACCACCUCUCCUCCUCUUGUCAUGCUGGAUUUGUUACUUAUAGGCCUCACUCGAGGAAAGAGAGGGUACGAGAGCCAUUGCCACUUAUGCGGACCCCACCAACUCUAUCCUAGCGCCUCGAUCACAACUUUCAUAUGAGAAAGGAGGGGACGUGAGGGCCGUCAUCGUUUCUGUGGACCUUACUAGCCCUAGGACCUUGCUAGACUCUAUUGGACUUGUUGCCCGUAGCCCUUACACAAGGAAAGAAGGGUUGUGAGGGUCGACGCCACCACCAUCUUCACAGACCACUACGACCCUGCUUAUAUGCACUUCACUCGUAACCCUUGUGCAAGGAAGAAGGUGGCACAUGUGCUAUCGUUGCCUUUGUGGAACCUAUUAGUCUCCGUCAAACCUGUUGUCACUCUGCACCACCCCCCCUUUCCUCGCACGAGGGCCAUAGUGUGCAAGGGUUGUGAGUGACAGAUUAUAUGAAGUAGAGGAGAGGAUAGGUAGUGCAUGGAGUAAGGGCACAAGUGAUUAUAGAGGGAGGAGGAGAUAACUAUAGGUCUAAUAGAAAUAGAGAUAAAAUAAUAUUUUUAUAUAAUCAAGAUACUCUAUGAAUUUCUUAAAGUUAAAAGGCUCUGUAAAAAAUUCAUAAUGUUAAAUCUAAAAAAAAAAUAAGGAUUUGACGUGCGUCCGACAAGCCUCCUUCCUGGAGAGGAUCAACACACAGCUAGUUAGUAGGGGAUUCAGUAACUUUCCUUUUUUUUUCCCUUUAAAAAUAUGAAGUUUCAUAACUUAUCAAAAAGAGGUCCAAAUUGUACAUUUAUACCAAUAAAUUUGAAUACUACAAGUUUUUCUCUUGCAACUAAUACACACACAUAUACUACAGUUUUGCCCCAUACAAAUCGAAUAACAAUGAGUAUAGUUUUGACCCUUCCAUGUAUAGAAAUUAAAUAAAAAUUAGUUUGAUUCAAUUCAAAGAGUUAAGUUUCUAUAUUGUGGACCAAAUUAAGUAUAUAUAAUCAGACUCUUUUAAUUCUUAAUUAUACUAGAUUAUCCUCUUAGUUUAUUUUAUUUCAAUUUAGACAUGAAUAUUUUCAUUACAAUGUGAAUAAUAAAAAUAUCUUAAAAGUGAAGUCAUAUUUGGUUCUUUAUUAGACCUUACUUUUCAACUUUUGUAACGAUCCAACCAAUGACCUCAUUAUUGGCCAUGAAUGAAAUCUUGAAUUCUAAUUUUUAAGUAAAAUGUAACUUAUGAUAUUUUAGAUUAAUACAAGUUAACAAUUAUUAACUAUCAUUAGUUAUGAUUGAUUAAAAAUUGAAAUGUAGUAAUAGAAUAUGAUAUUACAAAAUGUUCACAUCAUAUUUCUUUCUUAAAAAAUAAUCUUGUUUAUACCAAACUCGAAUUCAAAAUCUCAUCUGAUAUAUUUUGAAGAUAUCAUCUAAUUUAGUUGGUGUUAGUGUAGAUUUUGAUUAUAUGAGCUAGGAUAAUUCUUCAAAUUGAAUCAAAGUCUAUUCCAAACCAAUCUCACUUCACAUCACUAUUAAUAAAGCACCAAACUUGUAAAACUAGGUCAAGAGGUAUUCUUGACAAAUAUUCCUUCAAUAAUCAAUUGAAUUCUUAGGUUUGGACUGGCUGAUGAAUAUUGAAGUGAAAUCAUAUCUUAAGAGUACAUGAGAGUCCUUUUUAUGGGUGAUACUAAGGAUGAUUAUUCCUAGAAUCACCGAUCACUUAGGCUAGUCGAUCACGAGUUCAAAUUAUCUAUCAUUUGGCCACAUAUCACCCCUUUAUGAGUAUAUAUCUUACUACCUGACCAUCAUCUGUCAAACGCGUGUGAUCCCCAUGCUCUUUGAUAAUCGACCCAUUGGCUUCUUGGCCACGUGUCGCAUUGUGGCAAUGUUGUAUUUGACAUGUCACUUGUCACCUAUCACUAGCCCCCCAUUUCUAAGUUGAUAGAUUAUAGGGCUAUAGAGCUAAGAAGUGCUCUGGCCUAUGAUUUUUACACUGAUAGCGAGUUUGUUCAUCAUCGUUUUGACAUAUGUCAUUGGAAUGCAUGUUGUGUCCAUUAAAGCUAUUCUAUCCAUUCAGUGUGUUUGACGCAUUCAGUCCAUUUGACCCAUUCCGUUGGUUAGGGUCGUUCAGCUCGUUCAAUCAAUUUGACAUGUUAGGCUUUUUAGGAUUUAACCUAGAUGGUACCACGAAGUUUUCUUAAGAUAUCUUAGUUGCCCUCUCUCUAACGCUAAUAUAUUAGUAUAAAUUUUAAUUGUCUGAAUUGAGAUGAUAACUUAGAUCCAACUGAGAUUCAUUGCAAGUUAGUCUUACUCUAGGAAACCUACAAAUGCCCCAUCGUAGAUCAAGUCAGACUUGUUGGCCAAUAAUAAAGUCAAGUUGGAUCCUCGAAGUGUACCUAGAGUCCCUUUUAUUAGUAACUCUGAGAAUGAUUAUGUCCGGAAUCAUUGAUGGUAAGAGAGGAAUAUGUGCCACAUUCAGACUGAGACUUGGCAUGAUAUUCAUCGAACCUUGUGUUCACAUAGGUUGGUUGUGCUAAUCAUGGGUUUGGACGAUCGACUAUUCAUCCACGUAUUAUCUCAUGCUGAGUGUGCAUCUCAUGAUUCCAUCAUCACCUAUCUAUCACAUAUGAUCCUCAUGCUCUUUGGUUGUCAACCUUGUGGCCAUGUGUCACUACACGGUGAUGUUAUAUUCGAUAUAUUACUCUUUAUGCUGAAAAAAAAUUUGAUAGUUGAUCACUAGACUCAAAAUUCUACAUUCGUUAGUGGUGCGUUGGCCAUGUCUCGCCGCAUGAUAGUGUUAUAUUCAAUGUCACACCCUUCACCUGUCAGAUAAAGACUUUAAUAGUUCCUCCCAAAAUUUUAGACUUAAAUUCCACAUUAAUCACUUAUUCUCAAAAAAAAAAUCUGGUUAAGAUCGCAACCACUGCUUCGGUUACAAUUAUCCCUUCUAUUUUUAUAACAGAACAAAUAGGGUAAACAGUGUGCGAGUCGAUCAGUCGGUGGACUGCCUUCAUUCCACCGACUUACACCAUCAUGAGAUCCUCUUAAUUUUCAAAUUAUAAUAAUUAUAAUUUAAAAAAUAUGAAUAACAUUAAAUAAAAAUAAACAAAAAAAUCAGCCAUAACGCGUAAAGGUCAAAGUCAAAGUACCCAUGACCCAUGGACUGGGACACGUGGAGGCAAGAAAGCAUCACAACAGACUCGAGAACGAGCCCACUCGAUUGGACCAUUCAGGGCGGGAUUAAUUGAAAGAAACAACGAGCGAGACAGUCAGCAGGUCCACUAAACUGGAAGCAUUCUUCAUGCUUUGAAAUCAAAACAUGAGUCUAACAUGAUCAACCAAAUUGGACUCAACACUUGUGAUCGAGAAGAAUAGGGUGCCGCCAUGUUCGUACAAGUAAAUGGUUGAUGUGAUCCGGGAGAGAGCAAGGCAUAUAAAUGCUUCAUAACAAGGGAACGUCUCUUACAAGUUCUCCAUUGACAGGUUCUCUUCCUGCUUAGAAUUGGUCCAAUGUUUUCCGGCUUCCACAUACCUCAGGAAAUUGAGUAAAGAACUCUAUUUAAGCGACUUCAAGUCGGCACGACUCUCUUCGCAUCCAAUGUUAAUGUAGCGCUAUGAGCAAGGGAAGCAGAAGAGGGAACAAGCUGAUGCGGUACAUCAAGGCCCCUUAUCGAGCACUGCUUCGUGCCCGGGACUUGUACGUGAACAGCAUGGCCGGAUGCGCCGGCAGGGCCCAGCGCGGGCCGACGAUCAUCGCGAUGCCACGCGCCCAGAGCCGCAGCUUCCACCGCCCGCAAAUGAGCAGCGGCGAGGACGACAUCAACGAGCUCAUCCGCGCUGCGUCGAGGAGCAGGCUGCGGUCCGUCGAGGGAGCGGCGGUUCCGAGGAGUCACAGCGUGGCGGGGAUGACGAUUGACGAGGACAAGCCAUGCAACUUUGAGGGCGACGUCAAGGUGGCCUUGGGCCCGAGGAGCCGGAGCUGCGACGUCGUCUCCAAGAGGAGGGCGGGGUUUACAACAAACGCCGUAAGCAGCAUCCGAAGCUUCUAAUACCAAGAGUGGAAGCACCAAAUGCAGCAAUUCCAUGUCGUUGUGGUUUCUAUUACUCGUGUUCGUGAACUCGAUUCGAUACUUUCUCUCCUCUUCUUCUCCUGUCAUGUUUCUGUUCACUCGUGAAUGUUUGGGCUGCCUGCUUACCUCAUUCCAUCUACACGAACGGAAUGUUCAUAUGGCAUCUCGGUAUCAUUUCCCUCAAAAUUUGAGCCUACAUUUGAAGCAUUUUCAUUAUAUAUAUAUAUAUAUAUAUAUAUAUAUAUAUAUAUAUAUAUAUAUAUAUAUAUAUANNNNNNNNNNNNNNNNNNNNNNNNNNNNNNNNNNNNNNNNNNNNNNNNNNNNNNNNNNNNNNNNNNNNNNNNNNNNNNNNNNNNNNNNNNNNNNNNNNNNNNNNNNNNNNNNNNNNNNNNNNNNNNNNNNNNNNNNNNNNNNNNNNNNNNNNNNNNNNNNNNNNNNNNNNNNNNNNNNNNNNNNNNNNNNNNNNNNNNNNNNNNNNNNNNNNNNNNNNNNNNNNNNNNNNNNNNNNNNNNNNNNNNNNNNNNNNNNNNNNNNNNNNNNNNNNNNNNNNNNNNNNNNNNNNNNNNNNNNNNNNNNNNNNNNNNNNNNNNNNNNNNNNNNNNNNNNNNNNNNNNNNNNNNNNNNNNNNNNNNNNNNNNNNNNNNNNNNNNNNNNNNNNNNNNNNNNNNNNNNNNNNNNNNNNNNNNNNNNNNNNNNNNNNNNNNNNNNNNNNNNNNNNNNNNNNNNNNNNNNNNNNNNNNNNNNNNNNNNNNNNNNNNNNNNNNNNNNNNNNNNNNNNNNNNNNNNNNNNNNNNNNNNNNNNNNNNNNNNNNNNNNNNNNNNNNNNNNNNNNNNNNNNNNNNNNNNNNNNNNNUUUCCUUACAAUAAUAAUAAUGAUAAGAACCUUGCGUCCCAAGUAGGCUCACGUGAUUGACAUAAAUGACUCAAAUUGGGAACGGAUGAAAACUCCUCCUAUUGCAUGUUCAUGAAUCAGAUAUGGAUGAUAUGGCACCACUUUUCCAUUGCCGUCCCACGCACAUCAUCCACGGUUUCCACAGAGACUGGUAGAAGUAAAAUUGCCAACUCAUCUACCUCCCUCUAUCAAUAUAUAUUAUCUAAUCACGUUCUUGCAUCACGUGUUCUGCGACCAUCAACCGGAGACUUUGACAAUUAUGAACCAUUCCAACACGUCUAAAUACACGUAAGAUUCAUCGGGAUGGCAUAAUCUCUUGUUAAGUCAACGGGCUUUACCUCCCUUCUUUUAUAUGAAUUUUUUUCUGACUACUAAUUAUUAUGUAAAUAGUGAUCAAGAUAUCGAAUGCACCUAUAUAUACAUUACAUACCCAUACCCAGACCAACUCUGAACAGCCAUCAUGGCCGCCACCCACAUUGCCCUGUUCGCAUCCGGCCUCGCCGUCUUGCUUCUCCUAGUCCAAGGAUCGCCGCCAGGGCCCGUUGUCCGGUGCCGGUCCGGCAACACUAACUGCACCGUGACCAACGGCUAUGGAGCCUUUCCUGAUCGCAGCACCUGCCGCGUCGCCGCGGUCGCGUACCCUUCGACCGAACAGGAGCUCCUGUUAGCUGUCUCCGACGCCACCGAGAAGCAGCAGCACAUGAAGGCUGUCACGAUGUACUCCCACAGCAUCCCCAAGCUGUCGUGCCCCGGCGGGCCGAGCGGCCAGGGCCUGGUCAUUAGCACCCAGCUCCUCAACAGAUCGGUGAGCGUGGACAUGGCCACCUCGCGGAUGACGUUCGAGGCAGGGAUCACACUUAGGGCGCUCCUUGACGCGGCGGCCGCCCGUGGCCUGGCGCUACCCCACUCGCCGUACUGGCAAGGGAUCACGCUCGGCGGGCUGCUGAGCACCGGUUCGCAUGGGAGCUCGGUGUUCGGGAAGGGCUCGGCGGUGCACGAAUAUGUGGUAGGGAUGAGGCUGGUGGUUCCAAGUCCGGUACCGGUGAACGGGUACUACGCCAAGAUCGUUAAUCUUGGUGAGGAUAAUCCUGAUCUCUUGGCUGCCAAGGUUUCUCUCGGUGUUCUUGGAGUCAUUUCUCAGGUAUGUGUGUGGUGACCUACGUGUUGUUCUUUGUUCUUUACACGGUUUGAGAUCCAUGUGAUAACUCAUCUUAGUUCUUCAUGGUGGUUCUUCCAACCACGUCAAGUGCUUUCAUAAGCUGAGUACAUGACUCGCCACGUCUCGAUGCUAAUUAGGUGCAACUAUAUCUUUAAUUCUUCAUGAUAUAAUAGAGAUCAUCCUACUGUUAUUAGCAACGCUGAAUACAUCCUAUCGUCAGCAAAAUGUCGAGACAGAAAAAAAGAACUUGUUUUCUAUCAAAUCACUUUACAAAGGAAGACUUGUUCUUUUCCUCGAAUCUAGAAAGUUACGUAAAUAAUAGGCUGUUGAUGAUCCCAGUGGACUUUACUUUUAAUCUUUCCUUCUUUUCUUGCUUUGCUUGUCUUCCUUGUUUCAAAAAGGGCUGAUGCAAACCGUUGAACCGUUCUAAUGAUUCCAUGUACCUUCCCUCGUCGUUUAUCGUAACUACACAACAUAAUUGAGUGUUAUGGAACAUAUGAGCACAUGCAAACCCACAUAGACAAAGAUCAGAGAAAAAGCAAACUUUGCAAUAACAGCUACAGUGACGUUGAUGAUGACUCGGGGUAAAUGAGAGUGCCCCUUCCUUCACAUAUGGAGCCUCGCGCAAGGCAAGAGGCAGGCAGGUCCAUGCUGCCUUGCCUUGCAGAGCUUACGACCGGGCCCGCUAAUUGCCUUAAAAGCCUCAGUAACAAUUAUUAGGUUGAAGGACGAUAGGGGAUGUCAGUAGUAGUAGUUCUUGUUUCAGUCUUAUUGCCUGAAUAGCUGAAAAGAGUUGACUUGCAAUACAUGUAAGCUUUUGUUCUUCUGCUUCAUUAUAAGUAACCUAAGAAUUACUUGAACCGAUCGCGCAGGUCACCCUCCAACUUGAGCCAAUGUUCAAGCGAUCCAUCACCAACAGGGUCGUAAGCGACGUUGGCUUCGAGCAAACCAUCUCCUCGUACGCUGCCGCUACAUACUAUGGGGACAUCAGCUGGUAUCCGUCACAACGCAGAGUGGUGUACCGAGAUGAUAUCAAGGUCCCCAUCACCACCAAAGGAAAGGGUGUCAACGACUACUUAGGGUUCCGAGCUCAGCCCACCCUUGUCGUAGCCUCUCUACGUGCUUCAGGUCUUAUAAAUUGCAGUUUUUAUUUUGCUUGUCAAUCUUGAUGUAGUGUUCGAGAAGUAUUGUGAACACAUUUACAUCGACAUUUCGUCCGAGAUUUAUACUAAGAAGGCAUCUUUUGUCCUCUACCAUGUGUUUGUGUCAAUGACUGCAGAGGAACUAUUGGAAGCAACGGGAAAUGCGGAAGGCAAAUGUGUGCUGUUCAGAUUGCAAGUAGAUACUUUGAUUGCGAUCGGCAUGGGCUUUAAGAACAAUGACGGCGGCUUGUUAGAAUUCACUGGCUAUCCGGUCAUUGGAAACCAAAGCGACAUGCAAUCCGCUGGUAGGUUCUCAAAUUAUCCGAGGAAUGUCUGCAUGUAUGAAUGAUAACUCUUGACGAUAAUGCUUCAUCACAAUAAUGACACAUGUAAUGCCCGGAUUUAUUUAGUUUGAGUCAUCUUCUCUCCAGGUUCAUGCCUAAGGAGUGCAGAAGACAACCUUCUUACAGCCUGUGGCUGGGACCCUCGUUUUGCGGGGCUCUUCUACCACCAAACCACGAUAAGCAUCCCCUUCACCACCAUCGCUGGCUUCAUCGCCGACGUCAAGAAGCUCCGCGACGCCCAUCCCGACGCACUCUGCAGCACCGAGCUGUACUUGGGCUUCUUCAUGCGCUUCGUCCGCAACUCCACAGCUUAUCUUGGCAAAACCGACGACGUGGUGGACAUCGACAUCACAUACUAUCGUUCCAAGGAUCCAAAAAAGCCGCGACUCUACGAGGAUGUGCUCGAGGAGAUCGAACAGAUGGCCUUGUUCAAGUACAAUGCGCUGCCGCACUGGGGGAAGAAUAGAAAUGUCGGCUUCCUCAAUGUCAAGAACAAGCUGGGGGCUAAGUUGGACAAGUUUGUGAGUGUGAUGCAGAAGUAUGACAGCAAUGGAUUGUUCUCUUCAGACUGGACCGAUGCGGUACUGGGACUGCGAGGGAAGGAAGUUGUGGUGCAGGGUGAUGGUUGUGCACUGGAGGGGCUGUGCAUUUGCUCCACUGAUGACCACUGCGCUCCUAAACAAGGCUAUUAUUGUCGACCUGGAGAAGUCUACGAACAGGCUCGAGUGUGCAGGAAGAUUAAAUCCGUGGAAGCUGAUGGUUAGGUUUAUUUCUGUGUCGCUUCCUCUUCGAAUAAAGGAUGUAAUGUCAGUCAAUAAUUACUACAUAGUUUAUUAUUGUAAUAUUAAAGCAAGCGUCGAUAAAUGCAAUAUUGUAUGGGAGGCAGAUUGCAUUCCUCCUGAUUUAUCUGUGCAACUCCAAGAUGACUUAUGCAAGUCAUUCUAUAGAACUAUAAUGUGUUAAUAAAUUUCUUUUGGGCAAAAAAAUUAGGACAUAA
rnacentral:lncRNA from 1 species